rnacentral:rRNA from 1 species
GACGGGGGAUGCAAGCGUUAUCCGGGGUCACUGGGCGUAAAGCGUCUGUCGGUGGUGAUGCAAGUCACUGGUGCAAAACUCUGGCUCAACCGGAGGAAAGCCAGUGAAACUGCAUGACUAGAGUGUGGGAGAGGUAGAAGGAAUUCCCUGAGUAGCGGUGAAAUGCGUAGAUACAGGGAAGAACACCGGAGGCGAAAGCGUUCUACUGGAACACAACUGACACUGAGAGACGAAAGCUAGGGGAGCGAAAGGG